UUUGUGGAGAGUUUGAUCCUGGCUCAGGAUGAACGCUGGCGGCGUGCUUAACACAUGCAAGUCGAACGGAAAGGCCUCUGCUUGCAGAGGUGCUCGAGUGGCGAACGGGUGAGUAACACGUGGGUGAUCUGCCCUGCACUUCGGGAUAAGCCUGGGAAACUGGGUCUAAUACCGGAUAGGACGAUGGUUUGGAUGCCGUUGUGGAAAGUUUUUUC
rnacentral:rRNA from 1 species